GAACGCAUCAUGAGAAUCUUUCAGUUAAUACAAGCUGAGUCUGUGGUGAAAGUUUACUCACACAUGGAUCAGUAGCACAGUUUGAUGUUCUGCUUGUUCAUCUGAUGGACACGUUAACGGCGACUGCGCUCCCGUUUCUGUGCAUGUCCAGCCUGAGACACAACUUGAAUCCAACCAGACUGAACACUGACUCCAGGGACAGACGAGCCUGAAGGACACAGCUGUGAUGACCUUGUUCUGUCUCUUAUGGCAAAGCAGAAAUAUUAAACACUGGGUUGACCAGCAUGAAGCUGCAGAUCUCCACCAUGUUGCUGCUGAGGACAUCAAGUGCUGCAGUUCUUCAUCUAUGAAGAGAAAAAACGCACUGUUAAAGAAGGUUUUGUGUUGUGUAUGAAGCACAACAGAUUUCAGAUAGAACCGUUGUACUGUGGUCUUGGUUUGUAUCCUCAUGGUUAAAUGUACAUAUUUUAAGUCCCUUCUGAUAAAAGUACUGAAAGAAAUACAACAUUGUACAAAUAGAUAAAAUGUCUUUCUACCUCAUCUGUAAUAUUCAAGGUGAUAAUCUCCCACAGAGCUAUUGAUAACAGUCCACAUCAAGUCUCUCCACUUCCCUCAGUGUGAAAACAUAAUUAUAUAAUUAAUUUGAGAACUGUUUACAACACUGAUGUGUGGAGAUUAUAAUCAUAUCUAAACUGUCUAAUUCACUGUAAAACUCCAUGACAGGCUAAAUAAACGAGGUGGGAAUAGUAAUGGUGGAUAUACCAGCCUGUAACAGAAUAAUGGUGAAACAUAGUUACUAUCACAUGCAACUUACACGUUUAGCAUCUUGAUAUUAACGUAUUAAAAUAAAAAAUAACGUCACAACCAAACACACAACUCUGUAGCUAACUUGAUUCAAUCUGUGUAUUAGAUGUGUUAAAUAAACUGUAACUUUUAUAACAAUUUUAUAUUAAAAAAGCCUUGAGCCAUGUAAGCAUAUGAUGAUAUGCAUAUGAUAGGUCUCGCGAGACCCCAGCGUCCAGAGGUUGGUCGGGCUGCCUUUGUCGACCGGGGUCAAGCAGGCUGUACCGGUCAUGAUCCCUCCGCAGGUUCACCAUCAGGAACCCUGUUACGAGUUUGACUUCCUCUAGAGUCCAGUUUGAUAGUCUUCUUGGCGCUUCGACUCUGGCGAAGCCGAUCGAGGACCUCACUAAACCAUCCAAUGAGGAAUAGCGAUGUGUGUACAAAGAGGAGGGACUUAAUCAACACCAGCACAUUCCCCAUCCAUUUAUUCCCUUGAUAAUGAUCCAGGUUCUCCUGCAGGAGCUCGGUUCAGUUUUUAUUAUUCGGUCUGAAAUUUGGCAGCAAAACAAGAUUGUGUCCAGUGAGUUUUUCUUAUUUGUACUAGCAAAGUGCAGCUGUUAACAAAAGACAAACUAUCUUAAUUUGUGUGCCUAGAACUUGUUUCCGGUUACUGAGUUAUCAGAAGGGGCAUUGUGUAUCACUCCUUCUACUGGUGAAAGGUCCAGGUUUUGUGAUAUUUACACAAUGUUUUAGUUGUUAUACUGUGGUUUAUUAAUGUUCUUAGGCAGACACAAGAGGCACUUGUUUAUUCUGUUGUGUUGAUUCUUUGUUGUCUCUAGAAGUUCAGAUGCACUGGUCCAUAACUAUUUGAACCUCAGUAUCUAGGGUUCAAAAUUUGUAAAAUUAUAGAUUAUAUGCAUAUUGUUAUAAUUUUUCAGUCAGUUGAAAUAAAUCUUGAG